UGGGGAAUAUUGGACAAUGGGCGAAAGCCUGAUCCAGCCAUGCCGCGUGUGUGAAGAAGGUCUUCGGAUUGUAAAGCACUUUAAGUUGGGAGGAAGGGCAGUAAGCGAAUACCUUGCUGUUUUGACGUUACCGACAGAAUAAGCACCGGCUAACUCUGUGCCAGCAGCCGCGGUAAUACAGAGGGUGCAAGCGUUAAUCGGAAUUACUGGGCGUAAAGCGCGCGUAGGUGGUUCGUUAAGUUGAAUGUGAAAGCCCCGGGCUCAACCUGGGAACUGCAUCCCAAACUGGCGAGCUAGAGUAGGGCAGAGGGUGGUGGAAUUUCCUGUGUAGCGGUGAAAUGCGUAGAUAUAGGAAGGAACACCAGUGGCGAAGGCGACCACCUGGGCUCAAACUGACACUGAGGUGCGAAAGCGUGGGGAGCAAACAGG
rnacentral:rRNA from 1 species